GCCACUUUUAAUUUGAAAAUUAAUUUCCUCUUUUUUUUUUUUUUCUUUUUUUUUUUCUCCCAAGGUCUUCUUAAAUAUCUUUAGUAAAUUAAAACUAAGUAUUGCCAGCUCUACCAACAACUUUGCCUUUACGGAUAUUCCAUGAAUAACUUCUGCUUAACAGAAUAAAGUAAAAAAGUAAUAAGUUCAACUUCUCUUUCUCCCACUGUGCAGUCCACUCCCUUGCACAGAGUUCAGCUCUCGGUCCAGACCACCCACAUCAUGAAUGAAUGCUCUGAUCUUGCCUUCCAACCACCUGGAACUGGAUAACUGCCUUUUAAAAUAGACUACACCCUCUUUUACUUCCUAAUGUCUCAGAUUAAAAACUCCGUGGGAUACAGAAAUGUCCACAUUUUGGGAUUUGUGUCACAGUAUUGUCACAGGAAUUGUAAUUCACCACAGAUGAAAUAAUGCCAGCUAUGACAACUUUAUCUGGAGACAGAAAGAAAAAUAUUUUUUAAUGCAUCGGUACCUGUUUUAAUGUGCUUUAAGAUGCAGUUACGGCCCGCAGAAUGACUGUUACACAAAAUACUACGACGUAUCCCUCAGAUUCUACAAGACC